CCAGGAUGGAGAACAGGGGUCAGGAUGGAGAACAGGGGUCAGGAUGGAGAACAGGGGUCAGGAUGGAGAACAGGGGUCAGGAUGGAGAACAGGGGUCAGGAUGGAGAACAGGUGUCAGGAUGGAGAACAGGUGUCAGGAUGGAGAACAGGGGUCAGGAUGGAGAACAGGGGUCAGGAUGGAGAACAGGGGUCAGGAUGGAGAACAGGGGUCAGGAUGGAGAACAGGGGUCAGGAUGGAGAACAGGGGUCAGGAUGGAGAACAGGGGUCAUGGUGGAGAACAGGGGUCAUGGUGGAGAACAGGGGUCAGGAUGGAGAACAGGGGUCAGGAUGGAGAACAGGGGUCAUGGUGGAGAACAGGGGUCAGGAUGGAGAACAGGGGUCAGGAUGGAGAACAGGGGUCAGGAUGGAGAACAGGUGUCAGGAUGGAGAACAGGUGUCAGGAUGGAGAACAGGGGUCAGGAUGGAGAACAGGGGUCAUGGUGGAGAACAGGGGUCAGGAUGGAGAACAGGUGUCAGGAUGGAGAACAGGGGUCAGGAUGGAGAACAGGGGUCAGGAUGGAGAACAGGGGUCAGGAUGGA
ensembl:lncRNA